rnacentral:rRNA from 1 species
AGUGAACGUUGGCGGCGUGGAUUAGGCAUGCAAGUCGAGCGAGAACCGUAGCAAUACGGGGACAGCGGCGAAAGGGACAGUAAUGUGUAGGUACCUACCUCCGGGUUCGGGAUAGCUGCGGGAAACUGCAGGUAAUACCGAAUAACGUCUCCGGACCAAAGGUGUGAUUCCACCUGGAGAGGGGCCUGCAUCCUAUUAGCUUGUUGGCGGGGUAACGGCCCACCAAGGCGACGAUGGGUAGCGGGUGUGAGAGCACGACCCGCGUCAUUGGGACUGAGACACUGCCCAGACACCUACGGGUGGCUGCAGUCGAGGAUCUUCGGCAAUGGGCGCAAGCCUGACCGAGCGACGCCGCGUGCGGGAUGAAGGCCUUCGGGUUGUAAACCGCUGUCGUAGAGGAGGAAAUGCAGGGGGGUUCUCCCCUCUGUUUGACCUAUUCUAGGAGGAAGUACGGGCUAAGUUCGUGCCAGCAGCCGCCGUAA